UUUUUUUAAAUGUAUAAACUCUACUGCUGUUCUUUGAAGUUAAAUAAAAUUAAAUAAAAUUAAAUUGAAAAAAAUUCGUCGCAGAACUACAUGUCCCACGAUGCCUCGCUUUCAAGCUGACCAAAUGGAAUACAGACCAGACCAGCCGUUGUGACAGCUGAGCUUCAAGUUUGCUGAGGGAGACUUGAGCGCCCACUACGACAUUAAACAAACACGAGUGAAAUAAACAUGACAUGCUCAGGACAGGAUAGAAGCCGGCCGGUAAAGCAGCACUAGCAGCAGAGAUUGUUUAAUGGGGAUACGUUAAAAGAGACAGUACCCGUUCUACACAGAUCAUCACAUGCUAAGAUAACAACUGCAGCAGCACGUCACAUCCCUCUCAGGCAGUCAGAGCCUCAUGCCCUGGAAGCCUGCGCUUUCUCCCUGAGCCACCAGGGGGCCUCAGUCCCACGGUGGGACAACCAGCUCUGAGUUUGCCUUCACCCUGAACCCUCCAGCCCCAGUCAAGCUGUCCCACUCUGCCUCCCCUCCAUC